AGUUUGCAGAACAUGUUCUUACAGACAAUGACUUUAUGUUUGACUCUUCAAAAAGGGCUAUAAGAGUAUCAAGACACAUCAUUGGACAAGUUCUUGUUGAUAACAGUGUUAAAUGAUUAUCACAACAACAGCAACCCAAGGCUAUGCCCCCAAGACCUUAACCCAGGAAACCGAAAUUAAAGGAAAAGGGCAUUGAAACAGCUUCAUCAUCAUGCACACAGGACAUCCAUUGGCUAUUUAUAUCGGUGUCAGCAAAGGUGAGUUUAUCUCAUGAUUAUAUAUGUAACUGUAUUCAG